GGUGGAAAAACCCGGCGCUCUCCGACAGCCUUAGGGGACAUAUCAAAAUAGCAUCCGGCUGAUAAAGGGCCGUUGCUACCAUCACAGCCGUGGCGUCUAGGAACGGAUGCCCACCUGAUGCUGGCAUUCAUAAGGAAGAUGCGAUGGGAAGUCCUUCUGCGAUCGCGGCAGCUGCUAUAAACAAUACAUUCUUAACAUCCCCCAUUAAAGUGCACCAGAGCAAGGAGCAGUCUGGAGCAGGCAGGAAGGGAGAGGAGAUCACUGGCUGUGCUUUGUGACAUUCCUGGACUCCUUCCAGGUAAGAACUCUCUUUUUCUUUAACGGAGAAUAUUCUUUUUUUCCACCCACCCCCUUCCCCUGUAGACCUUCGGGAUGUUAUAACAGCUGUUUGUAAACACUGCAAAUCCAAAAUUAGCAGGGGGGUUGAGCAGGAGCAUCAUUUAUCAACGUCUGCCCUCUGGAGCAUCUUAAAAAUGUUGCAGAUACGUUGGCACAUUGGUAAGGGAUUUGGAGAGCUGGGCGGGGAAGCCAAUAGCCAGCAGGCAGUCUCUUAGCAGAGAUGCCCCCCAGCCCCCUUGUCACGGGACAUGGGCUGCCACUCCAGAGAAUGUCCAUUUGGCCACACAAAUCAAGACUGGUUGGCACUAAUGAAACACAAGCCUUCGGAGGGUUGAGAAUGAAUUUUGUCUCAUUAAUCAUGCUUGGCUUCAGGAGGCAUGAGACUUGCUUUGAGAGCAACCCAUGCUUAAGAAAGCCCUCUGUACUGUGUCCUCCAGCUUGAGGACGGGGCAGCCAGGAACACAGAGAACGUGUCUCCGCUAAAAUGCCCAGAAUGUUAAAACAUGAACAUAGAAAAAGUACAUGGCUGCAUCAUCCCCAAAGUCUGUUUUGUCCCACAUCCUGUUCUCACGGUGGUCAACCAAGAUGUCGACAGAAAGUAGAGAAGGUGGAGAAAUUUGAUUUAAACUUGAAGGCUAAUCUGUUUGGAAUUCGCCGUUUUCGAAACAACAUGAGCUCCAAAAUGCAGCCAUCCUUCCAAAUUCACGCAUAUUUACAUUUUCCGACGCAGUUCUCCAAUCAAACCAUGUUUACAAAAAUGCAUAUAUUAGAGGAAAGCGGGCAUUGAAUGGCUAUGUUAGGGAAAACUUACAAAAAUGCAUUACUGUAUUUGGGGAGAUUGCUUGCAAAAAAUUGCGCAUCGGUCAAAACUGCAUACAAAACUGUGUUUAUUAGGAGACAUCACCACUAAAAUACUGGUGCUUUUUCAGGAUGAUUUAAUUAAAUAAACAACUACUACAGUAAUAAUAAUAAUAAUAAUAAUAAUAAUAAUAAUGUAUUUAUCCCCUGGAUUUUCCUUUGAUGGGUCUCAAGGCAGCUUACAGAUAAAAACAAGAACUGCUAAAAUAUAGAACGGAAAUAAUUAAAAAACAGUUAAACAUUGAUAGGAAUUAAAACUUUAUAAAUCUGUUAGAAGCAUACAAACAAUUACAAUAAAAAGCAGCAUGGCACUAGCCAUUUCAUUAAAAGCAGUCAGUUCCCAAAAGCCUGCUGGAACAAGAAAGUGUUCACCUGUUUGCAAAAGGAGAGAGUUCCCUUCCAUGCCUAACGGACAGCUGGCAAGCAGGAACUGAGUGCAGAUGACUUGAAAAACUAGAAACGGAGAGAAAGCAAAAUGGACAGAUCUCUCCAUCCCUAAUAUCGUUAUGUACGAUUUCCCCUUCGUGGGAAAUUGCAUCAACCUGGCAUACUUUUAUUCCAUAUGCAACAUCGACAGGGCAUGCUUAAAGGCCCCCGAAGACACAUGGCAACUGGGGGAGCAAAAUCUUUGUUUAAAACCCAGAAUGACUUAAAAGGUUAAUAUAAUCCAAUAGACAUUUGGCACUUCUGCUGGGGGUGGGUCAGAUUGCUGAACGUUAAUUAUUUCUCCUUGUAUAAUUGUUGUUCCUUGUAUAAAUAAGUGGAAGCAAUAAGUAAGUGAAAAUCAUAAAAUAUUUUGGGGAGGAAUAUGGAAGAAAGCAAAUAAGGAUUGCAUGUGCAAAUGGCUUCAUUGUUCCACUGUAUACAGAUCUCCUUCUGAGUUUUCUUUUGCAUAGCACCAUUAAAAGUGUCGCACUUUGUGUGUGUGUGUGUCUGAAUCCAGCUAUUUAUAGCAAAAGAAACAUAAUUUACUUUUGGCAAGGGGGCUUUCUGAAAACCCAAAGUGCUGCAGAAAUGGGCAAAAUGUCCUUGUGUGGUCUGGCAUAAAGGAGAACCAAAACAAACGAUGGGUUUUUUAAAAGUGACAGUGUUUCUUCGCAACGAUUUUUCCUUCGAGCACUCUGGACCUUUUGCCGCCCUGGCUAUCACUCCUUCCUCUCUGCCGCUCCACACGCCUCAGUCCAUCUGGAGCUUUGCUGGGUAAUGCCCCUUUGACAUGUCCAUCAAAUCUUUUCCAUGACUUGAUUGAUUGGUGUAGAAUAUCUGCGGUGUCUAGGUUUCCCUCCCCCUUUCCUUUCCUCCCAACUUUUGCUGGAUAAAUUUCAAUGAGUCUGGGAGGACUCUUAUAUUCUCGUUCUCUCUCUUUCUUAAAAAACGCACACCUCACUGAUAGCGUUGACGGUUGGCAAACAGACCCAGGAUAUAUGUUAUUUUCCAUUCCCAAAGAGGAAUGUUAUGAUAUAUUAAACUGAGCGAGGUGUCUAAUUUGCUGUUGCGGUGCGUACACACUGCUGAAAUUAUUAGAGUUGCGGAGAGGAUUUAUGAAUCCCAGAGGGAACAAGUCAUAACCCCACCCCAAAACCUGAAUCUGCACACUGUUCCUUUUUUUGGGGGGGGGGUGUCUGGUCUGCUUCUAGCCUGCUUCCUGGUUAACACUCUCCCAAAAAAAACACAUUGAUUUAGUAACAGACACCCCUCCCGUUACUCCAAAGUUUGAAAGAUAUCCUAGGAAAAACCAAUUGCCUUACAAUAUCUGAAGUUCUAAACAUAUCAGCAGCUGAAGCAUAUGAAGGUUCAGACUACUGUGGAGUCCUGUUGAACUUACUGUUUUUCUCUGUGCGGGAACGUAUUGUUAUACCCUAGAAAUUAAUAAAUUGUAUCAUUUUGAUUAAUCGGGAUAUGGAUGAAAGUACCAGCUGCAGAGCUGUGCUGGAGAAGGAAUCCCAGGGCUGGCUUAGUUAAGAGCAAAUCUGUUAACAUGACAAAAGGAGUUGAUCUGAGAGGAUUCCUUUGGCCGGCGGGGCAGGGCAGGGAGAGACAGAUGGUGAUGGGGUGUGUGUUUGAAGUGACAGAAAAAGAAAGUUUUUAGCAAGGUGUUCUGGGAAGGAGGAGGAGGAAGAAAGACAGGGAUCCAUCUUGGGCAGGCUGGCUGAAGGCCAGCUGGGAGAAAUGUCUGCAGUCCUGUGGGGGACAAGUGGGUGGAGCAACAAAUGUAUUUUUAAACUUUUAAACAGUAGACUAGUUUCUGUGUGCAUGCACCCCUCUAGCGUCCAUUUGGACAAGCAAGAGGUUCUGGAGCCAAGUGAGGAUUCCCAGGUAAGAUCCUCCCUCUAUUGUGUGGGCAGGUAAUCCCUCCCCUACCUGGCCUGGUCUCCUUGGCAACGCUUCCCCCAGGCGGGAUUGGACAACUGACUGAGGUAGGCGGAGACCUCCAGGUAUCCCACCUGAGGGAAGGCAAAGCCAAGCCUAUGCUGAUGGAGCCGCUCCAGAUCCAGGGGCUGCGCGCGUCCACGCAAAGGGCGCCCCCCGUUUUAAGCGGGGAGUGGUCAUUGUCAGAGUUCAAGGUCACAUUCCAGCUAAGCAAAAACAUUCAAGGAGGUUUUGAUGGAAGCAGUGGUGCAGUGAUCCAGGGUUGUAGUGUGUGUCAAACACCUAUUGCUGUUUCUGCAGCAGGGUCCCAGCAGAGUCCCUUUCUGCAGAGACAUCCAAUCAGCAUGAAAGGGAGUUUCUUAGCCACUGAGGUGUCCUCUCACCCUUUGUGCUGAUUGGAGCCAACCAGAGUGAAAGGAGGCGGGUCAGUCACGGAGGAUUGGCUCCUAGGGUCACUCUGGAGAAGGUUUUGGGAGGGACACGGGGGAGUUGUUGUUCUGUACGCUCCGAACUUAAGCAUUUAGGAAACCUGAAAAGACAGCGGGCUUCAGCUUCAAGAGAAUGGCGUGCAAGUUCCGUUCUGUACAAUGGAACUUCAAGGAAAACACAAGUCACUCCGAAAGAAGACGUUGGAACCCUCCAAAUCAUUUGCCCGUGUACGUUUACAGAAAAUGGUAGGUCUAGAUGAAAGGCAAAGCAUGGAUAUCUGCAUCCCUGAUUAUUUGCAUUAUUGUAUAAUUAUAAAAUGGGGCGGGUGGAGCUGUGGGUAAAACCACAGAGCCUAGGGCUUGCCGAUCAAAAGGUUGGCGGUUCGAAUCCCCGCAACGGGGUGAGCUCCCAUUGCUUGGUCCCUGCUCCUGCCAACCUAGCAGUUUGAAAGCACGUCAAAGUGCAAGUAGAUAAAUAGGUACCGCUCCAGCGGGAAGGUAAACAGCGUUUCCAUGCACUGCUCUGGUUUGCCAGAAGCAGCUUAGUCAUGCUGGCCAAAUGACUCGGAUAAAGCGAGAUGAGCGCCGCAACCCCAGAGUUGUCCGCGACUGGACCUAAUGGUCUGGGGUCUCUUUACCUUUUUUAUAAUUAUAAAACUAUUCUAACUAUUUUUAGAACAGCGGUUGGCAAGGUUUACCUCGCCUGGGCCGGUUCACUCCAGUGGAGAUCCCUCCGUGGGCUGGAUUGUGCGCACGCUCAUGUGCAUGCAUGCGAUUUCCAGCAUCUGCGUCUGCACAGACACGAUUUCCAGCACCGCAGAAGCGAGUCCCCGUGCCACACUGCACCAGUUUAGUGCAGCACGUGGGGACUCGCCGAGCGGGUGGCUUGGUUCGUGGGCAGCUCAUGGGCCGGUUAAAUGAACCCCGUGGGCCGCUUGUGGCCCAUGGGCCUUAGGUUGCCUAUCCCUGUCCUAGAAGGUUGUGUCAUUUUAGAAGGGCUGUGGCUGUCAUGAAGGAACCCUGCCCUUCUGCCACUGCACUACUGGAAGCAAGGCCAGUGAGGGUGUCAUUUGAUGUCAGGCUUCAGGGAAUCGGCUCCCCGCCCCCCGUGGCAGUAGAUAAGCAGAACAAAGGAAAAGAAGUCUUCUUACCAGUUAGAAACUUUAAUAAUCACAGCGAGAGAGCAAAGAACACAUCACCUAGAAAUGGUGGUGCUCCCAAUUAAGUUCACUCCCCUCCUCGGUCCCUAUUAACCUACAUCACUCCUACGUCUUGUAAUCUGAGCUUGGAGCCGCUGUGUUUUCUGUUCUGCCACUUUCAGAGCUCUCCGGGACUUUGGGGAAGGGGUGUGUAGAUACUAUCCAGAGACCAUGAAUCUGUUAACUCGUUCUCUUCUGGUGUUUCUUCUGCUAGCUGUUCCCCAUCCAGUGUUUCCCAGCUUCUGCCUUCUGAACUAGGCCCCUCUGCAAACCACUGUUCCAAAUCUAUACGGUGGUCCCUUGGGUUAAGUACUUAAUUCGUUCUAGACGUCUGUUCUUAACCUGAAACUGUUCUUAACCUGAAGCACCACUUUAGUUAAUGGGGCCUCCUGCUGCCGCCGUGCCACCGGAGCACAAUUUCUGUUCUCAUCCUGAAGCAAAGUUCUUAACCUGAAGUACUAUUUCUGGGUUAGCGGAGUCUGUAACCUGAAGCGUAUGUAACCCGAGGUACCACUGUACUGUCCUCCUGCUCCUGGGAAUAUUCAGGAUCAGGAUCAGGUUGGAGGGAAUGGCACCCACCAUUCUUCCUCAGUGCACCCCUCCUCAGCAUGGUCCCUGACACCUGAGAAGACUUCUGAGGGCCUGAUAGAGAGGCCUUGAGGGCCUGAUUAAGCCUUCCCCCCCCCCAGAGCCAAGGGUUCCCCAGCUCUGUGCCACUGUUUCCACCUGAUUUAGCACUAUGUGAUUCUCUGCUGACAGGAUAUCCUUCCUAGUUACAAUGGCACAGAUCUGGCCCUCCCACUGACUAGCCUUGCCACUUCUUACUGGCGAUUCUCCUCUCAGGCCAGAGGCUGUUCCUUAAAACACUGUCUCUCUGUUACCAGCACUACCCUUUAUACCCAUUAAACACAAAAUAAAGCAAGUUACAGACCUCCCUUUGUGGCGGGGGGUAGAAACUUGUAAUUUUAUAGAGCUUGUAAACCGAGCUUGUAAAGUCUUUUAAGACCCAUAUCUUGUGUAUAUCACCCUAAUGAUGUCCCUAGAAAAUGUGAGACCGUCGGCAGUCCAAAAUAAGUUAAAUAAACGUAACUCCUACCGCAGUUCCCUCGGGUCCAGUGAGUUUACGCCACAGGUGAAUUCUCCCCUCGUCCUAAUUACCUUUAAACCCAGUCUUCUUCGGUCUCUUUAAAACAUGGUUUUCAGUUUUGAGCUGUGUAUAGUGGGCAAAGUGGAAUUUGCAGUGGGAUAAUGUAGAUACCAAGCAACUGCAAGGAACUGGACAUUGGUUGGCAUAAAAACUUGAUCCAUCCAGUAAUAUCAGAUAAACCCGAGUAAUCAUUAAUAUGGACUAGGGGCAGGGAAGAAAUUGGAUUCAGUUUGCAUUUACAGGUGAACCUACCUAGUUUACACUUUCUGAUACAAUGAGUAACAGCUAUCCGUCAAAAUUUGCAUUUCUCCAAAUUUUGCAGUGUCGUUCACCAGCUAAGUAAUGUGUGCAAUUUUUUAUAUAUUUUUUGCAUGUACUGGGGUACAAUGUCCAUAAAAUGCUUGUGUUAGUGAAAAUAAUAUACAGUGGCUACUCAGCGCGCCCCGGGCUUCGGGCAGAUAUCCGCAAGCCUGGGGAGACCGACGUGACUUCCCGCCAGGCUCCCUAGGCUUGCGGAUAGCAGCCUGUUCUGGGGGCUGGGGUCAAGGGAAGCUCGGGCUUCCCCCGGCCCCAGCCUCGCGCCUGGGGGGGAAAUAAAUUUUUUUCUUUAUUUCCCCCCCAAAAAACUAGGUGCGCCCUAUGGGCCGGUGCACCCUAUGGGGCAAAAAAUACGGUAAGUACUUAACCCAAGGUACCACUGUACUAAAUAAUAUACUAAAUAUAUUAAGCAAGUGAAUGUGUAUUAGGAGAAAUUGCGUAUACUCUUGUAUAGUAGGAGAAAUUUCAGUUAGUCAUGGUCUUCCUGUUUAUUGCUCAUUCUUUUUUUUCAGUACAUUUCACCAUCACUUUCCUUAUGGUGAAAAUAUUAAUUUCUUUUAAAAGAAAUCAGUUAUUAGUUUAUUUAAGUUUAACAAAAACAUUGCAAUCCAUGAUACUUUAUACAAUCAUGGCCUUUAUGGUGGGUGGGGUUACAGUGGCAGACCAGAGCGAAGAAGUUUUCACUCCAGUCUCCCGUGUGAAUAUUUAAAGUCAACAGGCACUCAGUUUAACCAGCACAAUUGGUGUAAGAGCAACCCUCCCACUCACAUUAUAUGAGUGUUCUCUUGGUUCGAUAGACUUUGCUGUAGUUCUAAAGCAGGGGUCAGCAACCUAAGGCCCAUGGGCCGGAAGCAGCCUGUGGAGGUCAUUUGACCGGCCCACAAGCCGCCCAUGAAUUGAGCUGCCCGCUCGCGCACAGCGCUAAACUGACCCAGCACAGCGUGUGGACUCACUUCCGCGGCACCGAAAAUUGCAUCUGCGCAGACGCAGAUGAUGAAAAUUGCAUUUGUGCACGAGCAGACGACAAAAAUUGUGCACACACGCAUGCAAUCCAGUCCAUGGAGGGAUCUCCGCGGGACCGAUCCAGCCCAGGCAAGAUAAACCUUGCUGACCCCUGUUCUAAAGGGUCACCAUAUUCGGGGCGGGGAAGGAAUUUGCCUUCAAACAAAUUGGACCCGUUUGUAGGUUUUACCUUCCUCAUAGCAGUCAUUGCAACUUGCAACGGAUAAGGGAUUGGUUGGAAUCCUUAGCCUAUUUACAGGUGUGGGGGUGAUUUGGUGCAUCAUCCUACCUCAUGCAGGUGUGAUAUCACAAGGUACCCUGGAAAAGGGGUCUGGGUGGAGGUUUCUGUCCUGGAGGCAUGUGGAGGGCAGACAGGCCAUAGAACAUCCAGUAGCAGCCUGGGGAGGGCCAGCUCCGUUGACCUGUGUCUUGAGAUGGUCCUUAACUCAGUCACGACCCUGAUUAAAUUUCCGCCUUCAGCCCGAAGGCUAAUUCAGGAUACACGCCCGGUGCCUGAGCCAAAGCCUACCUACAUCUGUAAUCAAUAAAUCUGCGGCCAAUUUUUAAUCCCUUAAAGUUUUUGUGUCAAUCUGUUAUCCAGUCAAUGCAUCAAUCUUUCUCCAUAGGGAAAGGUACACUGUGCCUAGGCCUGCAAGUCUUGGAAGCAUCUCUGGUGAUAAAAACACUGGGCACUGAGACAUUGAGCUCCUUUCCCCUCUCACAGACCCUCCAAGUCUCCCUAUUUUCCAGGGAUGUCCCUGAUUUAGAGAAGCCGUCCCAGUUUCUGAUUUGAAGAAGAAGAAGAAGAAGAAGAGUUUGGAUUUGAUAUCCCACCUUUCACUCCCUUUAAGGAGCCUCAAAGUGGCUAACAUUCUCCUUUCCCUUCCUCCCCCACAACAAACACUCUGUGAGGUGAGUGGGGCUGAGAGACUUCAAAGAAGUGUGACUGGCCCAAGGUCACCCAGCAGCUGCAUGUGGAGGAGCGGAGACGCGAACCCGGUUCCCCAGAUUACGAGACUACCGCUCUUAACCACUACACCACACUGGCUCUCAGAUUUGAUCCCGGAAUCUCUCGCUUUUCCUUAGGAUGUCCCUAUUUUCAUUGGAUAAAUGUUGGAGGGUAUGGAGUUAUCCAACUCCUGAGCUGUCUGAAGGCAGUCCUGUAUAGGGAAGUUUUGUAAAAAAUGUUUAAUGUUUUAUUAUGUUUCUAUUUAUACUGGAGGGGACACGGGUGGCCCUGUGGGUUAAACCACAAAGCCUAGGACUUGCCAAUCAGAAGGUCGGCGGUUCGAAUCCCCGUGACGGGGUGAGCUCCUGUUGCUUGGUCCCUGCUCCUGCCCACCUAGCAGUUCGAAAGCAUGUCAAAGUGAAAGUAGAUAAAUAGGGACCGCUCCGGAGGGAAGGUAAAUGGCGUUUCCGUGCGCUGCUCUGGUUCGCCAGAAGCGGCUUAGUCAUGCUGGCCACAUGACCCGGAAGCUGUACGCCGGCUCCCUCGGCCAAUAAAGCGAGAUGAGCGCCGCAACCCCAGAGUCGGUCGCGACUGGACCUAAUGGUCAGGGGUCCCUUUACCUUUAUAUAUACUGGAAGCUGCCCACAGUGCUGGGGCAACCUAAUAAGAUGUGUGGUGUAUACAUAGUAAAAUUAUCACGAUGGAAUAGGACGCCCUGAUUUUCGUUGGGGAAAUGUUCUGAUGGCAACUGCACUCAAAUUCACCUGGGUUCUUCUCAUAGUGAUUUCAGCCUGGCUGCUGCUGAAUUUCCUGCACUCCUAUCUACCCCUUCUUUCGGGGGGCUGGGGGGGGGGGCUUGCCAAUAAGGAAGAUGUCGACGGCAGUGGCAACAGCCUCUCCACGGACUUCUAAGAGAGGAGGGCUGUCAGUGGCAUGCAGGUGGUGCUAUCCAGCCAGCUGUGCACACAAGGAUUCCAGGCAGGGAGUAUUAAAUGGAGACAGCUGCAGCCGGGCCCCAAAGAACCACCAAGCACGAACAGCUUAGGAUGGAUUUUCCUUGCAUUAUGGAACUUAUUUUAUUCAGCAGGCUGGGGGGCAGGGAGAAAGAGAGAAACGGAGAGCUAGCUGUGGCUCUCAAAGGCCUCGAGAUUCCAUAUCCUGUUUCUUGGAUGAAAAUAGGGAUGUCCUAUUCCAUUAUUAUUAUUAUUAUUAUUAUUAUUAUUAAUAUCCCAGCCCACUCUGGGCUGCUUCUAACAUAUAUAAAACAUAAUGAAACUAUACAGGGCUAACUGUCUUCUAAAGGUUGUACAGUGGUACCUCGGGUUACAGACGCUUCAGGUUACAGACUCCGCUAACCCAGAAAUAGUACCUUGGGUUAAGAACUUUGCUUCAGGAGGGGUGCACUGAGGAAGAAUGGUGGGUGCCAUUCCCUCCAACCUGAUCCUGAUCCUGAAUAUUCCCAGGAGCAGGAGGACAGUACAGUGGUACCUCGGGUUACAUAUGCUUCAGGUUACAGACGCUUCAGGUUACAGACUCCGCUAACCCGGAAGUAGUACCUCGGUUAAGAACUUUACCUCAGGAUGAGAACAGAAAUCGUGCUCUGGCGGCGUGGCGGCAGCAGGAGGCCCCAUUAGCUAAAGUGGUGCUUCAGGUUAAGAACAGUUUCAGGUUAAGAACAGACCUCCAGAACGAAUUAAGUUCUUAACUCCUUGUCUUGGGGGUUGCAUUACUCCAUAUCCUCCAACAUUUAUAGGUACAUCCUAAGGAAAAGCGGGACAUUCUGGGAUGAAAUCAGAGACUGGGGCUGGCUUCUGUAAAUCCAGGACUGUCCCUGGAAAACAGGGACAUUUGGAGGGUCUGAGAUCUUCAUCCACUGCACAGGGCUGAAGUCCGAGCGCAGCAUUCAUUCGAAGCAGGGCUUGAGACAAACUAGUUCAGUUUAAGGAAAUUCACCAAACCAAUUCGAAAAUCUCUGCACUAAACCUGAAAGCCACUCCCAUCAUUGCCAGGGGGAGUGAACAUAAAUUAAGUUCACUUUGGGGUAGAACUUUGAGUGAUUUCUAGUUUAUCUUUAAGUUUGUUUCAUACAUGCGAGUUGUUGUUUUUUUAUAAAAAAAAACUUUAGACUUUUUAGCUUCAUGAUUUUUAGUGGCUGGGCUCUAAACCAUUCACAUUCCACUGUCUGUGUGAGUCUCUCUGUGUUACGAUGUUUUAUUAUGCCAGAAAAGUUUCCUUUCUGAUGCAAAGGGCAGGUUGCAGCAACCCAAUCUAGAGCAGGACUGGAGUGGGGGCACAGGGUUAUAGCCCCCACAUCCCUUACCAGGGUCCCAGUUCAGAUAAAGACCCCAGACCAGCUACUUAUUUUUGCUAUCUAACCACUCACACAAUUCCUGAAAUCAUGUGUACUUUAUAUACAUAAAGAAUGUGACUGUGGCCACAGAACUUUCCUCAGUUCUGGUGUAAUCGGCCAUUGCUAUAGAAGGAAAAUCUGUACCCUCUGGUAACAGCAACAUGGGACCGAAGGUGCAGACCAUUAGCUCCAGAUUUGCUCUUAAAAAUGUUGGUUAAAACACCAAUUUUACCACUACAAACUGUAAGUACAGAAAGGCCCCGUACACCUCGUAGCUUGUGUGUUGAGAGCAAAAGCUACCAGGUUUUUCUGGGGCUUGGAAAAACAGCUCCACAUUUUCCCAACAUGUAGGUCUUGGAUUAUCCUUAAAAUGUUCCUGUGUCUUGGAUAGCAGGAAAGGCCUUAACCUAACAGCAUUAACCUAUGCUCCUUUUAUCUUCCAUUAGACUGUCUCACCAUGAAAUCACAUUGAUGUGUAUCAGAUUCCCAACCUGCGGCCAAUUUCACGACUCAAACGUGGGCGAAACUGAGCUCUCCGGGGGCCUAAACCGUUGUCAUCUAUCAGAAACGCUGGGAUUUCUCCUUUCGAGGGAGGCAGACAGAGAGAAGGAAAGACCUCCUGAUUUGUACAGAACUGGCUACUAGAUAUCUGGAUAUAAUGCAAGUUUGGGAGAGGUUUAACAGCUGGGAUUAGGACUGCUUCUGUUGUAACCUUCUGGGCUCUCACACACAUUUGAAAGUGAUCGCGCCAGAGCCUUCAUGCGUGAAAAGUCCAGGCCGGCCCACCCAUUAGCCACGCGGAGACCUUGGCCUCAGGCAGCAGAACAGGAGGGGUGGCACAUCUGCAUACCACCCCAGUCUGGCUGCCCACCAGCCACUGCUUCACCUGCAGCCACAGGCUUUAUACUGAGUCAAGCCACUGGUCCAUCUAUCUCAGUGUUGUCUGCACUGAUGGGCAAUAGCUCUCUGUGGUUUCAGGCAGGGGACAUUCCUGGUUCUACCUGAAGAUGCUGAGGAUUAAACCUGAGACCUUCUGCAUGCAGAGGAAGUGCUCUUCCCCUGAACAAUGACCCUUUGCUAAUAAGGACAUUUGUUGUUGUUUAGUUGUUUAGUUGUGUCCGACUCUUCGUGACCCCCUGGACCAGAGCACACCACUGCGUCCUGCAGUUUGGUCAAAAUCAAGUUGGUAGCUUUAAGAACACUGUCCAACCAUCUCGUCCUGUGUCAUCCCCUUCUCCUUGUGCCCUCCAUCUUUCCCAACAUCAGGGUCUUUUCCAGGGAGUCUUCUCUUCUCGUGAGGUGGCCAAAGUAUUGGAGCCUCAGCUUCAGGAUCUGUCCUUCCAGUGAGCACUCAGGGUUGAUUUCCUUCAGAAUGGAUAGGUUUGAUCUUCUUGCAGUCCAUGGGACUCUCAAGAGUCUCCUCCAGCACCAUAAUUCAAAAAAUAAGGACAUAGGAAGCUGCUUUAUAUUGAGUCAGACCACUGGUCCAUCUAGCUCAGAAACAUUUAAAAGAUGUACCAACAUGAGAAUGGGCCUUUUCUGUGGUGGCUCCCUGUAUGUGGAAUGCAUUUGACUGGCACCAUCAUUACAUGUCUUUAGGUGCCAGGCAAAAACACCCCUCUUUUCCCAGGCGUUUAGCCAUUAAAUAAUCUAUGGCCAGUUAAAGGUGGGGGCCAGGGGAACUGUUAUUAUGAUUAUUUUAUUAUUAUGCUGUCUGUUAGUAUGCUUUUGAUUAUGUUUUUAUUAUUGAUGCUCCGUAAAACGUGUUCUUAAUGUUGUACACUGUCCUGGGAUCUUUUGACAAAGGGUAUUCUAUAAAUCACAACAUCAACAACAACAGUAACAACCCACCUGGAGAUGCCGGGGAUUGAACCUGGGACCUUGUGCAUGCAAUCCAUGUGCUCUACCUCUGAGCUACAGCCCUCCUCACGGUUGUUGUUGCUUGCUUGGAAUGGGCUGUCAGUGACAGCAAGGAGGAGGCUGAGCAGGGCAAGAGGAUCCAGCUGUUGGCCCUUAAAUUGGUAUGGGACUUGGCAGGUGCCCAGUGAUACCAACUACAGUGGACUCUCAGGUUGCGAACGUGAUUCGUGCGGGAUGCACGUUCGCAACCCGCAGCGUUCGCAACCCACAGUGGAGUGUCUGCGCACAGACGGGUUGCAAUUUGGCGCUUCUGUGCAUGCGCAAAGCGCAGUUUAGCACUUCUGCAUAUGAGCAACCAUCGAAACCCGGAAGUAACCCAUUCCAAUACUUCUGGGUUUUGGCAUGUCCAUAACCCAAAAAACACACAACCUGAAGCAUCUGUAACCCAAGGUAUGACUGUACUGGCGCCAGCUCUGGAGAGUGCACCAUCUACCCCAGAAAGACUUUUCCUGUGAGCCAGUGUGGUGUAGUGGUUAAGAGUUGUAGUCUCGUAAUCUGGUGAACCGGGUUCGCAUCUCCGCUCCUCCACAUGCAGCUGCUGGGUGACCUUGGGCCAGUCACACUUCUCUGAAGUCUCUCAGCCCCACACACCUCACAGAAUGUUUGUUGUGGGGGAGGAAGGGAAAGGAGAAUGUUAGCCGCUUUGAGACUCCUUAGGAUAGUGAUAAAGAAGGAUAGUGAUAAAGAAGGAUAUCAAAUCCAAACUCCUCCUCCUCCUCCUCCUCCUCCUCCUCCUCCUCUUCUUCUUCUUCUUCUUCUUCUUCUUCUUCUUCUUCUUCUUCUUCUUCUUCUUCUUCUUCU